AUUGAACGCUGGCGGCAUGCUUUACACAUGCAAGUCGAACGGUAACAGGGUGCUUGCACCGCUGACGAGUGGCGAACGGGUGAGUAAUGCGUCGGAACGUGCCGAGUAGUGGGGGAUAACGCAGCGAAAGUUGUGCUAAUACCGCAUACGUACUGAGGUAGAAAGUGGGGGACCUUCGGGCCUCACGCUAUUCGAGCGGCCGACGUCUGAUUAGCUAGUAGGUGAGGUAAAGGCUCACCUAGGCGACGAUCAGUAGCGGGUCUGAGAGGAUGAUCCGCCACACUGGGACUGAGAAACGGCCCAGACUCCUACGGGAGGCAGCAGUGGGGAAUUUUGGACAAUGGGCGAAAGCCUGAUCCAGCAAUGCCGCGUGUCUGAAGAAGGCCUUCGGGUUGUAAAGGACUUUUGUCAGGGAGGAAAUCCCUAGUGCUAAUAACACUGGGGGAUGACAGUACCUGAAGAAUAAGCACCGGCUAACUACGUGCCAGCAGCCGCCGUAA
rnacentral:rRNA from 1 species